rnacentral:rRNA from 1 species
GGGAAUAGUGGACAAUGGGCGCAAGCCUGAUCCAGCCAUGCCGCGUGAGUGAUGAAGGCCCUAGGGUUGUAAAGCUCUUUUGUGCGGGAAGAUAAUGACGGUACCGCAAGAAUAAGCCCCGGCUAACUUCGUGCCAGCAGCCGCGGUAAUACGAAGGGGGCUAGCGUUGCUCGGAAUCACUGGGCGUAAAGGGUGCGUAGGCGGGUCUUUAAGUCAGGGGUGAAAUCCUGGAGCUCAACUCCAGAACUGCCUUUGAUACUGAAGAUCUUGAGUUCGGGAGAGGUGAGUGGAACUGCGAGUGUAGAGGUGAAAUUCGUAGAUAUUCGCAAGAACACCAGUGGCGAAGGCGGCUCACUGGCCCGAUACUGACGCUGAGGCACGAAAGCGUGGGGAGCAAACAGG